rnacentral:rRNA from 1 species
UACGUAGGGACCAAGCGUUGUUCGGAUUACUGGGCGUAAAGGGCGCGUAGGCGGCAAUUCAAGUCAGCUGUGAAAUCUCCGGGCUUAACUCGGAACGGUCAGCUGAUACUGCUUGCUAGAGUGCAGAAGGGGCAAUCGGAAUUCUUGGUGUAGCGGUGAAAUGCGUAGAUAUCGGGAGGAACACCAGUGGCGAAGGCGGUUGCCUGGAGCUUUGCUGACGCUGAUGCGCGAAAGCGUGGGGAGCGAACGAGG